AUGUAACUGAUUACUGAGGUUACUUUAAGCGGGAAAAGAAUUUUCAAUAUGGAUGCCAUGAUGACAAUUCAUAAAGGAGAAAUAAAGUUUAAAUUCUUGUAUCGAAGAAAGAAAUAUAUAUUAUAUUGUGAUCACGUGCAAUGUGGUCAGUAGAUUCAGUGUUUGUUUCGUAAUAGUAUUUUUAAAUAUUUUCGAGCACAAUAUAUAGUUUUAAGUAAAUUUAAUUAUAAUAAAUAUACGCGAAAUUAAAGUCAGUGUUCAUUCGCUGAUAAAAAAAUACAACGAACAUAUUAAGUUAAUUUUUUUAUUAUUUUUCUAUUUUAAAUAUAUUCGUCUUCGGUAAAGUAUACAAUCAAUAUUUGUGUAAAGAGAAUAAAGGUGAUUUUGUUGCGCAACCAUUGUGAAUUUGAAGAUUUGCAAAAGAACAAUAUAAUAAAAGAGAAUUUACUUGAAAAUAAAUAAAUUUUUAUGCAAAAGAAGAGCAGACGUGUGGGACGUAUCGUCGUUAUCAGGAUAAAUUUCCAAUUUGCAACAAUCUUCAAAGAGAUAUGUAACUGAUUGCUAAAUUACUUUAAGUGGGAAAAGAAUUUUCAAUAUGGACGCCAUGAUGAUAAUUCACGUUUUACGGAGGAAAAGUAAAAUUUAAAUUCUUGUAUCGAAAAAAAAGAUGUAUGUUUUAUUCUUCGAUUUUUUGCAAUUUCUUUUGAUGUUUGUGCUGUACAACGAUCACGAAUAUGAAUGUUUUCCAAACAGGCAACAAAAAAAGAAUUUAUUUGAAAAUAAGUAAAUUUUUUCGCAAAAAAAAAGAUGAAUGGAACAUGUCAUGAUCAGGGUGGGUAUCCAAUUCUCAAUAAAAUCCAAAAAGUGA